UACGGGGGGAGGCAAGCGUUGUUCGGAUUUACUGGGCGUAAAGGGCGCGUAGGCGGUCAGCACAAGUCAGUUGUGAAAUCUCCGGGCUUAACUCGGAAAGGUCAACUGAUACUGUGCGACUAGAGUGCGGAAGGGGCAACUGGAAUUCUCGGUGUAGCGGUGAAAUGCGCAGAUAUCAGGAAGAACACCCGUGGCGAAGGCGGCUCUCUGGGACGGUACUGACGCUGAGACGCGAAAGCGUGGGGAGCGAACAGG
rnacentral:rRNA from 1 species